rnacentral:rRNA from 1 species
GAUGAACGCUGGCGGCGUGCCUAAUACAUGCAAGUCGAGCGAACGGACGAGAAGCUUGCUUCUCUGAUGUUAGCGGCGGACGGGUGAGUAACACGUGGAUAACCUACCUAUAAGACUGGGAUAACUUCGGGAAACCGGAGCUAAUACCGGAUAAUAUUUUGAACCGAAUGGUUCAAAAGUGAAAGACGGUCUUGCUGUCACUUAUAGGUGGAUCCGCGCUGCAUUAGCUAGUUGGUAAGGUAACGGCUUACCAAGGCAACGAUGCAUAGCCGACCUGAGAGGGUGAUCAGCCACGCUGGAACUGAGACACGGUCCAGACUCCUACGGGAGGCAGCAGUAGGGAAUCUUCCGCAAUGGGCGAAAGCCUGACGGAGCAACGCCGCGUGAGUGAUGAAGGUCUUCGGAUCGUAAAACUCUGUUAUUAGGGAAGAACAUAUGUGUAAGUAACUGUGCACAUCUUGACGGUACCUAAUCAGAAAGCCACGGCUAACUACGUG